rnacentral:rRNA from 1 species
GACGUGAGGCGCGAGCGUUGUCCGGAUUUAUUGGGCGUAAAGAGCUCGUAGGCGGCUUGUCGCGUCGACUGUGAAAACCCGCGGCUUAACUGCGGGCUUGCGGUUGAUACGGGCAGGCUAGGAGUUCGGUAGGGGAGACUGGAAUUCCGGGUGUAGCGGUGGAAUGCGUAGAGAUCCGGAAGAACACCAGUGGCGAAGGCGGGUCUCUGGGCAACUACUGACGCUGAGGAGCGCAAAG